GUGUUGUAUGAAAGGAGGUAAGGUUAGCACUCCCCUUGACAAGGAUGGAAGACGCUCUUGGCCUGACCUGUGCAUAUGUUUAAGGCAUUGCCCCCUACUUCAUGACAUCUAACCAUUUUUAUUU